CGUAAAGCGCAUGCAGGUGGUUUGUUAAGUCAGAUGUGAAAGACCCGGGGCGUCAACCUCGGAAUUGCAUUUGAAACUGGCAAACUAGAGUACUGUAGAGGGGGGUAGGAAUUUCAGGUGUAGCGGUGAAAUGCGUAGAGAUCUGAAGGAAUACCGGUGGCGAAGGCGGCCCCCUGGACAGAUACUGACACUCAGAUGCGAAAGCGUGGGGAGCAAACAGGAUUAGAUACCCUGGUAG
rnacentral:rRNA from 1 species